rnacentral:rRNA from 1 species
UCGAGCGGCAGCACGGGUACUUGUACCUGGUGGCGAGCGGCGGACGGGUGAGUAAUGCCUAGGAAUCUGCCUAGUAGUGGGGGAUAACGUUCGGAAACGGGCGCUAAUACCGCAUACGUCCUACGGGAGAAAGUGGGGGAUCUUCGGACCUCACGCUAUUAGAUGAGCCUAGGUCGGAUUAGCUAGUUGGUGAGGUAAUGGCUCACCAAGGCGACGAUCCGUAACUGGUCUGAGAGGAUGAUCAGUCACACUGGAACUGAGACACGGUCCAGACUCCUACGGGAGGCAGCAGUGGGGAAUAUUGGACAAUGGGCGAAAGCCUGAUCCAGCCAUGCCGCGUGUGUGAAGAAGGUCUUCGGAUUGUAAAGCACUUUAAGUUGGGAGGAAGGGCAGUUACCUAAUACGUGAUUGUUUUGACGUUACCGACAGAAUAAGCACCGGCUAACUCUGUGCCAGCAGCCGCGGUAAUACAGAGGGUGCAAGCGUUAAUCGGAAUUACUGGGCGUAAAGCGCGC